ACGUGGGGCUGCGGGAGGGGCCAGCUCCCCGGGGGCGCCUCCCUGCGGAGCAGGAGCGCCCCGGACGCCACCUGAUCUCACUGGGGUCCCGAAAGGUCGCUUUCAAGCGACCCUUUUGAAGACGGGCGGAAAGAAUCUGCUGCAGAAGCCUGGCUCCGAUGGAGAGCCAGCUGCUUUUUGCAGACAGGCUGGGGCCGUGGGCAGUGAGGAGGGCCGGCAGUUCCAGGGGGAAGACCUUUCCCUCCUGGGAGGUUGCACCUGGCUGCAGGCGCUGCCUGGAGUGGAAGGUGAGGACGCCUGGGUGGCUGAUCUGAAUCCAAAGUCUGCAGCCCUCACCUGCUCAGGAAGCAGAAAGACGACCGGACAUAGCACUGAACACCAGCCUUUGAAAACAAUGCAAGCUUGCCCCUCCCCUGAUCCUUAUCUGCAGCCCUGUUUUUCACUCCCCAAACUAUAAAACUCUAAAACGCCUCCCAAUCUCUGCUAAGGGGGUGGCACCGUCUUCAAGGCACUAGACUGCGGCGACCUUCCUUUGCCUGGCAAAGCAAUAAAGCUAUUUUUAUCCCUUCACCCAAAUCCCUGUCUCCACGUUCCCAUUCAGCACUGGUGAGCAGAGAUCACGUUGGGGUGACAAGGUCAGGGCAAGUUGCUGUGCCUGAAGCACCGUGGAGCCAAACAAAUCCACACAAUGGAGUUUGGAGCAGCGAAAGGUUUAUUAUGGGCCAUGCAAGGAGAUUGCGGCGAGGGGGGGGGGGGGGGGGGCUUGCUCCGCCCCAAAAGCCCAAACUCCCGAACAAAAUUGUAAAGCAUUUUUUAAAAAUUUUACUUUAUUUUAUAAUUACUUUUUUUGGGCU